ACUGGGCACAGUGGUGCACACCUGUAAUCCCAGCCUCCUAGGAGGAAGAGGCAGGAGGAUCACUAGUUUGAGGUCAGUCUCGGCAAGUUAGCAAGGCCCUCAGCAACUUAGUGAGAUCUUGUCUCAA
rnacentral:sRNA from 1 species